rnacentral:rRNA from 1 species
CCUACGGGAGGCAGCAGUGGGGAAUUUUCCGCAAUGGGCGAAAGCCUGACGGAGCAACGCCGCGUGAGGGAUGAAGGCCUCUGGGCUGUAAACCUCUUUUAUCAAGGAAGAAGAUCUGACGGUACUUGAUGAAUAAGCCACGGCUAAUUCCGUGCCAGCAGCCGCGGUAAUACGGGAGUGGCAAGCGUUAUCCGGAAUUAUUGGGCGUAAAGCGUCCGCAGGCGGUCUUGUAAGUCUGUCGUUAAAGCGUGGAGCUUAACUCCAUUUCGGCGGUGGAAACUACAAGACUAGAGUGUGGUAGGGGCAGAGGGAAUUCCCGGUGUAGCGGUGAAAUGCGUAGAUAUCGGGAAGAACACCAGUGGCGAAGGCGCUCUGCUGGGCCAUAACUGACGCUCAUGGACGAAAGCUAGGGGAGCGAAAGGGAUUAGAUACCCCUGUAGUCCUAGCCGUAAACGAUGAACACUAGGUGUCGGGGGAAUCGACCCCCUCGGUGUCGUAGCUAACGCGUUAAGUGUUCCGCCUGGGGAGUACGCACGCAGUGUGAACUACAANAGAAUUAGACGGCGUGAGACGUGCCGACGGACGACGACGAGGGAGUAGG